rnacentral:tRNA from 1 species
GUCCCCGUAGUUUAACUGGAUAGAACACCUCCCUGCGAAGGAGGAGCUUGGCUGUUCGAAUCAGCCCGGGGGCA